GCAGAGUAAGAGAUGCCACGGAGGAGAGAGGGCACCCGGGGUCCCUGCAACCCCGACGAGCGAGAGAGAAGUUUAAAUUCCAUGAAGUACUGAUAUGAUAACUACCAUUUGCCGAGAGAGCUCGCCCCCUGCCAGGCAGUUUGCAGCGUGAGUGCACCUGUUCCCUACAAUGGUCCUAUCAGGUCGUUAGCAUCAGCUCCGUUUUCCCAAAGGAGCAGGUGCUCAGGGAGGUUUAGGAACUCAGUCCAGGUGACAGCUGAACGUGGCCGAGGCAGGAGCAGGAUUCAAGCCCAAGUUUCUCAGAACGUGGGUCCUUCCACCUCGCUAUGCCGUCUCGCCAGAAAGAAUAGCGAGCACCCUCACGUCUCAUCUUGCAGGGAAUGGAUGAAAUAGCAAAACUUUUUUUUUUUUUUUUGGUUGGGGAAAAAUCCUUCUGCGUGCCUAUUCAGUCAGCUGCCAGGGCGGCACUGGGAAAGUCAGGACCGACCUCAGAGACUGAUCGAGAACAGCUAUUCCUCUGGGGACCUGCGAAAACGACCGGCCAAAAGAACUCAAGAAGGGGAGGGGGGAACUUCCCCCUCCCCAACACUGAGGAGAAAUAAAUGCGUCUCCUUGUAUGAGGCCGUAUGAAGACUAUGUAGUGAGUAUUCCUGCCCCUAAAGGUGGACUUGAACGUACUCAGGCUCAGAGCUGACUUGCAGCUUACAGGACACACGGAGGUAGAAGAACAGAUUGAGUGGCCUUAUGAGGAAGCAAACAGGCAAAUCCAGAAUGGGGGCCAUCCUCCAGGACUGCUGUCCUGGUUCCCUCACACUGGUGACUUAGGAUAUAAAUUCCCUGUGACACAUCGUAUGGAGGUACAGAACGUCCAGCAUCUCAAAUAACUGAGACUGAAGGAAGGCUGAUGUGCUUUUUGGAAACUGCAUUAGAUGACUGAAAAAGAGCCUCCGUGACACUGAUUGCAAAGAUAUGGAUAAAGUUGUAAUAAAUGCAUUUGCAACCAGAGUUGUGACUCAUCCAAGUCGUGUGGACAGAUUUACAACCUUUUGACCAGAAGACUUCUCAUUGAAGGAUGAGAAAAAAAAAAAAAAGAUGGAAAAAGAUUAUCCAAGAGAGAAAGCAUAUUAAGACAUGAAACUUUAAAAAACUGUAUCCAUUUACUCACUGAGUUUGGAAGACUUCACUGAACCUCAUUCAGUCAUGAAUAUCUAUUAAAUCAUAGCUCUGAUGUUUACAUUUAGCAAGAAAAAAAUAAUAACCCAUGCUAUUUAAGAUGAUCUAUCCUGUAAGCAUACUUUCCAUGCCUAAUGAGACUCUGCAAUGUAAUUCUCUCUCACUGAGGUUACUUUAACAACUUUCUAUUUUUAAAUUAUGUGACUAUUAACUUGUCAAAACAUUUCAAAAUAAUUUCUUUAAAAGAAGUGUUUUCUAAUGUGUUGCUCUAAACCAGACCUCACCAACAGACCUCAUACCAAGACUGGUAUGAAGAAAAACAAAAGUUUAAGGGAAGUCAAAACAAAUCUGGAUAAAUGGGAGAGUUACAAGAUAUUUCUAGACAGGAAGACUCAGUAUUGAAAAGAUGUCAGUUCUUUUCAAAUUAACCUAUCCCAAUCAGAAUCCACGUGAGAAUUUUAAAGAAUGUGAUAAGCUGAUCCUCAUUCAUCUAGAAGAGAAAAAUGGGCAAAAAUAACCAAUAAAAUUUUGAAAAAGUUAAACAGCAGGGUUCUGCUCUACCAAAUAUAAAACAUUGCUGUAGGAAUUAAAACGGUGUGGUCUUGUUUCAGGCACAGACACAUAAGUCUUGUUUCAGACACAUAAGUGGCAGAGCAUGCAAAAUCUCCUGUAUAUGCAUAUUUAUAUUCAUCUAUAUAGUAAAAUUUGAAUUUGGCUUAUGAGCAAAGGUAGCAUUUUGAGUCUGUUGGGGAAGGGAUUGUGCAUGAUAGCUGGCCAUCAGGUAAAGUCAUAACCCCUCCACAUUGUA